UCGUCAGCUCGUGUCGUGAGAUGUUGGGUUAAGUCCCGCAACGAGCGCAACCCUUGUUAUUAGUUGCCAGCAUUAAGUUGGGCACUCUAAUGAGACUGCCGGUGACAAACCGGAGGAAGGUGGGGAUGACGUCAAGUCAUCAUGCCCCUUAUGACCUGGGCUACACACGUGCUACAAUGGGCAGUACAACGAGAAGCAAGCCUGCGAAGGCAAGCGAAUCUCUGAAAGCUGUUCUCAGUUCGGACUGCAGUCUGCAACUCGACUGCACGAAGCUGGAAUCGCUAGUAAUCGCGGAUCAGCACGCCGCGGUGAAUACGUUCCCGGGCCUUGUACGCACCGCCCGUCACACCAUGGGAGUCUGCAAUGCCCAAAGCCGGUGGCCUAACCUUCGGGAAGGAGCCGUCUAAGGCAGGGCAGAUGACUGGGGUGAAGUCGUAACAAGGUAGCCGUA
rnacentral:rRNA from 1 species